rnacentral:rRNA from 1 species
CUAUGUUAUUUAAAGGAAGUAAAACUCCCAAUAAGGUUUCCGAAUGUGAACCUGCGGAAGGAUCAUUG